GGCCUUUUAGCUCAGUUGGUCAGACCGUGGUGCUGAUAACGCCAAGGUCGCAGGUUCGAACCUGCAUGGGCCA
rnacentral:tRNA from 1 species